UCUGUUGUGUUGAUGAACAUCCACGUGAGGCUGCAGGAUUGUUGUGCGUUACCAAAACAUUGUCUCCCUUAUAAUCAUCUAAUUGCUGACUCAGUUUCAAUUGUUGAUCCGCUAGCUGAGUUGAUGAGCAUGAUGUUUUGGUUUGACCUUUUCAUUACGGUGCUUGCAGAAUGGCGUCGUAGCAGCACUGCACAAUUAAUUAUUGAUGGCGAGCAACAUCACAGCUCUUCUCAUCGUGCUCACAGGCUGUGGAGCCGCCAGCCUGCUGGAGCUACUGGCCUGCUUGAGGCGCCCUCGAUCAGUGCCAACAUGGCGAGAGAAAACUAUGUGCAUGAGCCAGAACCCUGUAAGAUUGAUUUCACCUUUCUCCAAUUACUCUUAUCAGAACUUGUGGUUCUACAUGUUGCUGGCUCCCAACUUUUCUUCAAUCGACAUCUAAUUAUUCACAAGAUCAUGAAAUAUUGAUGUCUCACUGGUUCUUCAUCUAUCAAUUUCCCAGAUUAGGAGUUGAUAUAAACAUCAAUAUGCUCAAGAUUGCCAAGAUAAACUGGAUGAUGCAUGGCUCCAAUGUUGAUUGCAAGGAUGAGAAUGGGGCUACUACUAGAUAAUUAGAAUGUAAUUUUCAAGACAACAUUUCAAAUAUAUAGUUGAUGGCAAGGUCGAGAAUUCGGCUACUACUAGAUAGUUUCACAUCUUGUAAUCUCUGGAUCGUGUUCUUUGUAAUGCAACAUAUUUGAUUCAAUA